UCCCGAUUGACGUAGUGGUUAGCGCGUCGUUCUUAUAUCUGCUUUGCUUUGUGAAGCUUAUAUGGUAGAAUAGCGAAAAUCGUGAGUUCGAUGCUCACACAUCGAGAA